rnacentral:rRNA from 1 species
CAGUAGCCACGGUAAUACGAAGGGUGCAAGCGUUACUCGGAAUUACUGGGCGUAAAGCGUGCGUAGGUGGUGGUUUAAGUCCGUUGUGAAAGCCCUGGGCUCAACCUGGGAAUUGCAGUGGAUACUGGGUCACUAGAGUGUGGUAGAGGAUAGUGGAAUUUCCGGUGUAGCAGUGAAAUGCGUAGAGAUCGGAAGGAACAUCUGUGGCGAAGGCGACUAUCUGGGCCAACACUGACGCUGAGGUACGAAAGCAUGGGGAGCAAACAGGAUUAGAUACCCGAGUAGUCCCUGUCUCUUAUAC